CGUAUUAACACACGUAUAUUCUUAUGUGUUCGUGCUGUGAUACAUCCUUCGCGAAAAAUUCGUGCAUUAUUAUGACUGUAUUAUCAUGCGACAAAGUGAUUUAAUUUCACAGGCCUGUCUACAGAUGGAGCUCUUCACACUUUCUCUCAUUUUGCGUUUAAAAUUUCGCGCGUAUACAUUUCAUGACAGCCAUUAUUAUAGUAACAGAAAUAAAACAGAGAGUGUUUUGGCGCCUAAAGUUGAUGUUGACAGGCCUGAUUUAAGAGUUCGCUUUUCAUGUGUCCAGAAGCAAUUGAAAACGGCGUUACUUCUGCUUUAAAUAGUAAGACUGCUAAAAAUAUUAGUGAAACAAAAGAUGUGCAGAGACAAGCAUUCAAUGAAAAAGAGAAUGGUGUGAGUGUUAGGUAACAUGAUACACCAAUUGAUUCAAGUUCGAAUUGGAAUAAGAAUGUACGAGAUAUAAAAUAGGUAGAAGAAGAAGACAUAUAAAGAGAGAAGCAAACUGGGUCCGGUGACGGUGACAGACGAUAUUUCACGAUAUUUACCCCUUUCCCGGUAUAAAGGUA